rnacentral:lncRNA from 10 species
CCAGGUCUCACUCUGUCACCCAGGCUGGAGCACAGUGGCAUGACCUCAGCGGACUGCAACCUCAGCCUCCCAUGCUCAAGUGAUCCUCCCACCUCAGCUUUGUGAGUAGCUGGGAUUACAGGCACGCAACCUCCUAUAGUCAUAGGCGCGUGCCACCACACCCAGCUAAUUUCUGUAUUUUUUUUGUAGAGAUGGGGACUUGCCAUGUUGCCCAGGCUGGUCUCAAACUCCCGAGCUCAAGUGAUCCAGCCCCCUAGACUUCCCAAAGUGUUGGGAUUACAGGCAUGAGCCACCGCGCCCAGCCAAGAAUGCACUCUCUUCAGCCAAUUACUCUGAGGCUACCGAUUCUACAGUGGGUUCCAAAUGAAAGAAGAGAAAGUCAUAGCAGACAAAUCAUAACGAACAGAGUCCAGUGAGUCCCUCUGUCGCAACAAGUUCAGGAUCACUCAAGCAGGUUAUUGAUGCAUUUCCAGAAUCUCUUCAUUUCUUUGCAAUAACUGAAAACCCCAGAAGAAAGACACCAUUUACAUUAAGAAUGUGAUCAAUGUUACAAGCUUCUGCACCAUGUCAUUUUUUUGUUUUUUCAACCUCAAAACUUGCCAGAGCAAGAAUUUUGUCUCCAGAGCCUAAGAAAAAAGACACAUA